UACGAAGGGGGCGAGCGUUGUUCGGAUUUACUGGGCGUAAAGCGUGCGCAGGCGGCUUUGCAAGCCGGAUGUGAAAUCCCCGGGCUCAACCUGGGAAUGGCAUUCGGGACUGCAAGGCUGGAGUGCGGCAGAGGAGACUGGAAUUCCUGGUGUAGCAGUGAAAUGCGUAGAUAUCAGGAGGAAUACCGAUGGCGAAGGCAGGUCUCUGGGCUGACACUGACGCUCAUGCACGAAAGCGUGGGGAGCAAACAGG
rnacentral:rRNA from 1 species